rnacentral:rRNA from 1 species
CAAUAGCGUAUAUUUAAGUUGUUGCAGUUAAAAAGCUCGUAGUUGGAUUUCGGAUGGGACUUGCCGGUCCGUCGUUGCGAUGUGCACUGGCCAGUCCUAUCUUGUUGUCGGGGACUAGCUCUUGGUCUUCACUGGCCGGGACUAGGAGCUGACGAGGUUACUUUGAGUAAAUUAGAGUGUUCAAAGCAAGCCUACGCUCUGAAUACAUUAGCAUGGAAUAACACGAUAGGACUCUGGCUUAUCUUGUUGGUCUGUGAGACCAGAGUAAUGAUUAAGAGGGACAGUCGGGGACAUUCGUAUUUCAUUGUCAGAGGUGAAAUUCUUGGAUUUAUGAAAGACGAACUUCUGCGAAAGCAUUUGUCAAGGAUGUUUUCAUUAA